rnacentral:rRNA from 1 species
AUUGAACGCUGGCGGCAGGCCUAACACAUGCAAGUCGAACGGUAACAGGAAGAAGCUUGCUUCUUUGCUGACGAGUGGCGGACGGGUGAGUAAUGUCUGGGAAACUGCCUGAUGGAGGGGGAUAACUACUGGAAACGGUAGCUAAUACCGCAUAACGUCGCAAGACCAAAAGAGGGGGGACCUUCGGGCCUCUUGCCAUCGGAUGUGCCCAGAUGGGAUUAGCUAGUAGGUGGGGUAACGGCUCACCUAGGCGACGAUCCCUAGCUGGUCUGAGAGGAUGACCAGCCACACUGGAACUGAGACACGGUCCAGACUCCUACGGGAGGCAGCAGUGGGAAUAUGCACAAUGGGCGCAAGCCUGAUGCAGCCAUGCCGCGUGUAUGAAGAAGGCC